rnacentral:rRNA from 1 species
CUAUACAUGCAGUCGAACGAGUUCUGAUUAUUGAAAGAUGCUUGCAUCUUGAUUUAAUUUUGAACGAGUGGCGGACGGGUGAGUAACACGUGGGUAACCUGCCCUUAAGUGGGGGAUAACAUUUGGAAACAGAUGCUAAUACCGCAUAAAUCCAAGAACCGCAUGGUUCUUGGCUGAAAGAUGGCGUAAGCUAUCGCUUUUGGAUGGACCCGCGGCGUAUUAGCUAGUUGGUGAGGUAACGGCUCACCAAGGCAAUGAUACGUAGCCGAACUGAGAGGUUGAUCGGCCACAUUGGGACUGAGACACGGCCCAAACUCCUACGGGAGGCAGCAGUAGGGAAUCUUCCACAAUGGACGCAAGUCUGAUGGAGCAACGCCGCGUGAGUGAAGAAGGCUUUCGGGUCGUAAAACUCUGUUGUUGGAGAAGAAUGGUCGGCAGAGUAACUGUUGUCGGCGUGACGGUAUCCAACCAGAAAGCCACGGCUAACUACGUGCCAGCAGCCGCGGUAAUACGUAGGUGGCAAGCGUUAUCCGGAUUUAUUGGGCGUAAAGCGAGCGCAGGCGGUUUUUUAAGUCUGAUGUGAAAGCCCUCGGCUUAACCGAGGAAGUGCAUCGGAAACUGGGAAACUUGAGUGCAGAAGAGGACAGUGGAACUCCAUGUGUAGCGGUGAAAUGCGUAGAUAUAUGGAAGAACACCAGUGGCGAAGGCGGCUGUCUGGUCUGUAACUGACGCUGAGGCUCGAAAGCAUGGGUAGCGAACAGGAUUAGAUACCCUGGUAGUCCAUGCCGUAAACGAUGAAUGCUAGGUGUUGGAGGGUUUCCGCCCUUCAGUGCCGCAGCUAACGCAUUAAGCAUUCCGCCUGGGGAGUACGACCGCAAGGUUGAAACUCAAAGGAAUUGACGGGGGCCCGCACAAGCGGUGGAGCAUGUGGUUUAAUUCGAAGCAACGCGAAGAACCUUACCAGGUCUUGACAUCUUUUGAUCACCUGAGAGAUCAGGUUUCCCCUUCGGGGGCAAAUGACAGGUGGUGCAUGGUUGUCGUCAGCUCGUGUCGUGAGA